rnacentral:rRNA from 1 species
UACGGAGGGGGCUAGCGUUGUUCGGAAUUACUGGGCGUAAAGCGCACGUAGGCGGACUGUUAAGUCGGGGGUGAAAUCCUGGGGCUCAACCUCAGAAUUGCCUCCGAUACUGGCAGUCUCGAGUGCGGGAGAGGUGAGUGGAAUUCCCAGUGUAGAGGUGAAAUUCGUAGAUAUUGGGAAGAACACCAGUGGCGAAGGCGGCUCACUGGCCCGUAACUGACGCUGAGGUGCGAAAGCGUGGGGAGCAACAGG